CGAAGCGUCGCCGGGGUCCGCCUACCGCGGCAAUUACAUCCAGGCGGUUUCACUCGUUUCAGUUCCCCCCAUCGCAGCAGCAGCUUAUGACUCGAUUCCCUCGUACCGCUAUACGAUUAUCCGAUCCCUCUCCCUCUCCCUCUCCUUUUCCCUCUCCCUCUCCCUCUCCCUCUCGAAGCCCCGAAUCCUCGAUUCCUUGCGGCACUCGACGUUGCUACUUGAUCCCAAACUUCCAACCAUUCGCCUCUCCUGCACGAUGUCUCCGGCUCCUCAAGUCGAACACAUAUGUGCGCUAUAACUCGGCUGUAAGGCCUGAGGUUUGGCGACCACAAGGAUUCUGCUAAGUGGCCGGGGAAACCUAGAAGACAGAAGUCCAAAACUAAAAGCCAAGUAUACCGGUGUAUUUGUAUACAUGUACAUAUAGGUA
rnacentral:misc_RNA from 1 species